rnacentral:rRNA from 1 species
UAGGGAAUCUUCCGCAAUGGGCGAAAGCCUGACGGAGCAACGCCGCGUGAGUGAUGAAGGUCUUCGGAUCGUAAAACUCUGUUAUUAGGGAAGAACAUAUGUGUAAGUAACUAUGCACGUCUUGACGGUACCUAAUCAGAAAGCCACGGCUAACUACGUGCCAGCAGCCGCGGUAAUACGUAGGUGGCAAGUGUUAUCCGGAAUUAUUGGGCGUAAAGCGCGCGUAGGCGGUUUUUUAAGUCUGAUGUGAAAGCCCACGGCUCAACCGUGGAGGGUCAUUGGAAACUGGAAAACUUGAGUGCAGAAGAGGAAAGUGGAAUUCCAUGUGUAGCGGUGAAAUGCGAAGAGAUAUGGAGGAACACCAGUGGCGAAGGCGACUUUCUGGUCUGUAACUGACGCUGAUGUGCGAAAGCGUGGGGAUCAAACAGG